AGCGAACGCUGGCGGCAGGCCUAGCACAUGCAAGUCGAACGAACUCUUCGGAGUUAGUGGCGGACGGGUGAGUAACACGUGGGAACGUGCCUUUAGGUUCGGAAUAACUCAGGGAAACUUGUGCUAAUACCGAAUGUGCCCUUCGGGGGAAAGAUUUAUCGCCUUUAGAGCGGCCCGCGUCUGAUUAGCUAGUUGGUGAGGUAAAGGCUCACCAAGGCGACGAUCAGUAGCUGGUCUGAGAGGAUGAUCAGCCACAUUGGGACUGAGACACGGCCCAAACUCCUACGGGAGGCAGCAGUGGGGAAUCUUGCGCAAUGGGCGAAAGCCUGACGCAGCCAUGCCGCGUGAAUGAUGAAGGCCUUAGGAUUGUAAAAUUCUUUCACCGGGGACGAUAAUGACGGUACCCGGAGAAGAAGCCCCGGCUAACUUCGUG
rnacentral:rRNA from 1 species